rnacentral:rRNA from 1 species
GGCGCACGGGUGAGUAACGCGUAAGUAAUCUACCCCCGCAUUCGGAAUAACUCGUCGAAAGGUGAGCUAAUACCGGAUACGUUUAUCUUGAUGCGAAUGAUGAUAAAGAAAGGUGGCCUCUUCAUGAAAGCUACUGUGCAGGGAUGAGCUUGCGUACCAUUAGCUAGUUGGUAGGGUAAUGGCCUACCAAGGCGACGAUGGUUAGCGGGUCUGAGAGGAUGAUCCGCCACACUGGAACUGGAACACGGACCAGACUCCUACGGGAGGCAGCAGUGAGGAAUAUUGCGCAAUGGGGGCAACCCUGACGCAGCGACGCCGCGUGGAUGAUGAAGGCCCUUGGGUCGUAAAAUCCUGUCAGAUGGAAAGAAAUGUAUGGGUGUUAAUAUCGCCUGUAUUUGACGGUACCAUCAAAGGAAGCACCGGCUAACUCCGUGCCAGCAGCCGCGGUAAUACGGAGGGUGCGAGCGUUGUUCGGAAUUACUGGGCGUAAAGCGCGCGUAGGCGGUUUGCUAAGUCAGAUGUGAAAGCCCUCGGCUUAACCGGGGACGUGCAUUUGAAACUGGCAGACUUGAGUACUGGAGGGGGUGGUGGAAUUCCCGGUGUAGAGGUGAAAUUAGUAGAUAUCGGGAGGAAUACCGGUGGCGAAGGCGACCACCUGGCCAGAUACUGACGCUGAGGUGCGAAAGCGUGGGGAGCAAACAGGAUUAGAUACCCUGGUAGUCCACG